ACUAAACAAGACAUAUGAAGAAAAACCAUUGAAGAGAAGUGAACAGCAAAAUAUUAACCAUUGAAUGCACAACAAAGAUUCAAAGAGUGUUCAAAGAUUGAAGUGAGGACAAAACUCAAUAGAAUUAUUUUUUGGUGAGACUUGGAACAAAAAAAUAAUCAGAUAGUUCAAGUUAAGUUAAAAAUGUCAAAGAUGAAAACAAUUCACUCAUUUUUCAAGAGAAAAGAGAGAAUAUAUGAUGAACAAAAUUCAACUUCAGAUUCUUUGAGUAAUGUUCAAAAUAUUAUUGAACAACCUGUGACACAACUUGUUGAGCAAGAUAUUCAACCCCCUGCUUCCAAAAUAACAAGGACUGAAAUAGAUCAAGUUAAUAUUGAUACAUUGAUGCGUGAUCCCGGAAAGCGUCCGCAAAUUUGGAUACCAGGUGGAACUCUCACUUCAACUCAAUUUGUAGCCUUUUACGUAUGUUUGGAGCAACAACUUCAGUUCUGGAAGAUUUGGCUACUAAUGGAUCUACAUAUUCUCAACGUGGUGAUGCUACUUAUGCUCUUAAAUCUUUAUUAUCAUUUGAUUUUGUUUUCAUUUUGCAUAUGAUGAAAGAAAUCAUGGGAAUCACUGAUAAACUUUGUCAAGCAUUGCAACAAAAAUCUCAAGACAUUUUGAAUGCUAUGCAUCUGGUUUCUAGUACAAAGUCAUUGAUUCAACAGUUAAGAGAUAAUAGUUGGAGAGCACUUUUGGAGAAAGUUAGUUCUUUCUGCAAUGAUCAUGCUAUUCAGAUACCUGAUAUGAGUGCUUUUUUUAGUGACA